rnacentral:rRNA from 1 species
UACGUAGGGGGCUAGCGUUGUCCGGAAUCAUUGGGCGUAAAGCGCGUGUAGGCGGUCCGGUAAGUCCGCUGUGAAAGUCGGGGGCUCAACCCUCGAAUGCCGGUGAAUACUGUCGGGCUAGAGUGCGGAAGAGGCGAGUGGAAUUCCUGGUGUAGCGGUGAAAUGCGCAGAUAUCAGGAGGAACACCAAUUGCGAAGGCAGCUCGCUGGGACGUAACUGACGCUGAGACGCGAAAGCGUGGGGAGCGAACAGG